rnacentral:rRNA from 1 species
CGCACGGGUGAGUAACACGUAUGCAACCUGCCUUCAACAAGGGCAUAACCCGUUGAAAGACGGACUAAUUCCCUAUGACACAGGGGUCCCGCAUGGGGAUAUUUGUUAAAGAUAUUAUCGGUUGAAGAUGGGCAUGCGUUCCAUUAGCUUGUUGGCGGGGUAACGGCCCACCAAGGCAACGAUGGAUAGGGGAACUGAGAGGUUUAUCCCCCACACUGGUACUGAGACACGGACCAGACUCCUACGGGAGGCAGCAGUGAGGAAUAUUGGUCAAUGGACGCAAGUCUGAACCAGCCACGUCGCGUGAAGGAAGACGGCCCUACGGGUUGUAAACUUCUUUUAUACGGGAAUAAAGUGCCCCACGCGUGGGGUUUUGCAAGUACCGUACGAAUAAGGAUCGGCUAACUCCGUGCCAGCAGCCGCGGUAAUACGGAGGAUCCGAGCGCUAUCCGGAUUUAUUGGGUUUAAAGGGUGCUCAGGCGGGGGAUUAAGUCGGCGGUGAAAUUUUGCAGCUCAACUGUAAAAGUGCCUUCGAAACUGGUUUCCUUGAGUGCGGAUGAGGUAGGCGGAAUUUGUGGUGUAGCGGUGAAAUGCAUAGAUAUCACGAGGAACUCCGAUUGCGCAGGCAGCUUACCAAGCCGUAACUGACGCUCAAGCACGAAGGCGUGGGGAUCAAACAGGAUUAGAUACCCUGGUAGUCCACGCAGUAAACGAUGAUUACUGGCUGUUUGCGAUAUAAUGUAAGCGGCUGAGCGAAAGCGUUAAGUAAUCCACCUGGGGAGUACGUUCGCAAGAAUGAAACUCAAAGGAAUUGACGGGGGCCCGCACAAGCGGAGGAACAUGUGGUUUAAUUCGACGAUACGCGAGGAACCUUACCCGGGCUUGAAAUGCAUCUGGCGU